rnacentral:RNase_P_RNA from 15 species
GCAGUAGCAACUCCUACGAUUUUAACCUGCUUACGAACUAUUAGUCUGAUCUAAUAAUACAUGCAGGUGGGAAAUUCGGUGAAACACAACAAAUGAGGUUUCAGUUAUUUGGGCUCGUGAGAGCAGCCUGGGGAACCUGGUUAUAAUAGCGGCGCUAUCAGAAAUUCAACGCUAUCAAAUUUUGAUGGUGAUGGGAACGGCGCUAGCAACAAACAUAUUUUAUGUACCUCACGUGUUUGACUUAAUCAUUUACUGGUUAAAGUCUGUUCAGUGCAAUCGUAGGACUUCUAAGCAAUUAGUUGCACCCGAUACCGAUCAAUGGUACUGU